rnacentral:rRNA from 1 species
ACGGAAGGCAGCAGUGAGGAAUAUUGGUCAAUGGGCGGAAGCCUGAACCAGCCAAGUCGCGUGAAGGAUGAAGGUAUUAUGUAUUGUAAACUUCUUUAGCAGCAGAGUAAUAAGGUUCUCGUGAGGACCGAUGCAAGUAUGCUGAAAAUAAGGAUCGGCUAACUCCGUGCCAGCGGCCGCGGUAAUACGGAGGAUCCGAGCGUUAUCCGGAUUUAUUGGGUUUAAAGGGUGCGCAGGCGGCUUUUUAAGUCAGCGGUAAAAUCGUGGGGCUCAACCCCAUCCUGCCGUUGAUACUGGAGAGCUUGAUUGCGGUUGAGGUUGGCGGAAUUCGUCGUGUAGCGGUGAAAUGCAUAGAUAUGACGAAGAACACCGAUUGCGUAGGCAGCUGACCAAGCCGUAAAUGACGCUCAUGCACGAAGGUGCGGGGAUCGAACAGGAUUAGAUACCCUGGUA